GCACCCGUAGCUCAGUGGAUAGAGCAUCUGUCUUCGGAACAGAGGGCCGGCAGUUCGAAUCUGUCCGGGUGCACCA
rnacentral:tRNA from 1 species